AGUGAACGCUGGCGGUAGGCCUAACACAUGCAAGUCGAACGGCAGCACAGUAAGAGCUUGCUCUUACGGGUGGCGAGUGGCGGACGGGUGAGGAAUACAUCGGAAUCUACUUUUUCGUGGGGGAUAACGUAGGGAAACUUACGCUAAUACCGCAUACGACCUACGGGUGAAAGCAGGGGGUCUUCGGACCUUGCGCGAUUGAAUGAGCCGAUGUCGGAUUAGCUAGUUGGCGGGGUAAAGGCCCACCAAGGCGACGAUCCGUAGCUGGUCUGAGAGGAUGAUCGGCCACACGGGAACUGAGACACGGUCCAGACUCCUACGGGAGGCAGCAGUGGGGAAUAUUGGACAAUGGGCGCAAGCCUGAUCCAGCCAUACCGCGUGGGUGAAGAAGGCCUGCGGGUUGUAAAGCCCUUUUGUUGGGAAAGAAAAGCAGCAGGUUAAUACCCCGCUGUUCUGACGGUACCCAAAGAAUAAGCACCGGCUAACUUCGU
rnacentral:rRNA from 1 species